CUUCAGUUCAUUCAAACUGUGCUGUGAAACAAACCAUGAUCUCUUCAUCUUUAGUGUUGCUUCUGGCAGUGGUAUCCUGUAUUGAUUCAUAUGAACUCACUCAGCCUGAGUCUCUGACUGUCCGUCCUGAUGCCACUCUGACUAUCAACUCUAAAGUCUCCUAUUCAGUUACAAGCUACGUUACAGCCUGGGUUGUACCUCAGACUUAAAGGCUUCAGCCACUGGACUAAAUGCCUCAGACUGAAAGGCUUUCAGGAAAAACAACGUCAUGUGUCAGGUGGUGUUUUCUGUGUUGAGCUCACUCAGCCUCCUUCUAUGGUUGUGAAAACUCAAAAAUCGUUCUCCAUCUCCUGCAGGAUUUCAGAAUCAAGCUAUUGCAUUAACUGGAAAAGCACUGGAAUGGCUCGGAUAUCUUUGUAAUGGUUCUGGAUCAGUUUCACCCAGGACACACAAAAACUUGAACACAUGAAUCAGACAUAUACUACCAUCCCUUAUCACAU
ensembl:lncRNA